UUCAGCUUUAGGCUGAAUCUUUUAUGAUAACAUAAAUUGAACAGGCUAAUUUGCGCAAGAGAGUACAAAUUGAGUGCGCGGUUUGGCACCUCGAUGUCGGCUUAGCUCAUCCUCAUGCAUGCAGAAAUCAUGAAGGGUUCGACUGUUCGUCGAUUAAAGAGCUACAUGAGCUGGGUUUAAUACGUCGUGAGACAGUAUGGUUUCUAUCUUCUAGAGGAACAUAAAGUAGAUUAAAGAUAGCCCCUUCGUACGAAAGGAGUUGGGUAUAUUGAUCUCUGGUUUACCUGUUGUUUAUGGUUUAUAUUAUAAUAUAUGUUAUAAUGAUAAUUAAUACUUAUACUAAGGUAUUGUUACACUAUUAGUAGUGUAGCCAGACAACAUAGGCAUGGCAGGAAAGCUACAUCAGUUAAAGAUAAGUGUUGAAAGCAUCUAAACGCGAAGCAAACUUUAUGAUACUUUUAUACGUAGUAGAACACUACGAGCAUAAUUGUUAAAACAAUUAAUAGGCUUUGGUUGUAAGAAUGAAAACAUUUUUAGAUAUAAAGUACUAAUUUUUAAG
rnacentral:ncRNA from 1 species